AGUUGCAACAUCCCCGUGGGUUGGGUGAUGGCUCGGGAGAGCCGGCACAGCGAAUCCACUGCAACU
rnacentral:sRNA from 12 species